UACGUAGGGGCUAGCGUUGUCCGGAAUCAUUGGGCGUAAAGAGCGUGUAGGCGGCCCGGUAAGUCCGCUGUGAAAGUCAAGGGCUCAACCCUUGAAUGCCGGUUGAUACUGUCGGGCUAGAGUCCGGAAGAGGCGAGUGGAAUUCCCGGUGUAGCGGUGAAAUGCGCAGAUAUCGGGAGGAACACCAAUGGCGAAGGCAGCUCGCUGGGACGGUACUGACGCUGAGACGCGAAAGCGUGGGAGCAAACAGG
rnacentral:rRNA from 1 species